ensembl:lncRNA
CUGCAGUCCACUGUGGGAAAGGGGAAGGUUUUGACUUUGCUUUGUCAGAUUUAUUUCUAGGCUCAUGACUUCACAAGAAAAAAAUCCAUAGAAAUUGCAUCGUUCCGAUUCCCAUCACACCCUUUUCUUCCUUCUCUGUCUCGAUCUUAUAGGCUGCUAUUUUAAAAACUGUUUGCAGUUGAAAAUAAUGCUGUGCAGCACUGAGAGGGCUGGAAUGCUGCCUUCCCCAGGGGAAAGCACUUGCCCUCCCAUCCCUGUGGGAUGGGGCAGCAUUCAGCCACAUGUCUCUGAGCAGCUCUUCUGCCUCCUGCUCAGUGCUCCCUUUCCUCGGUCUCCUUCCUCAUGCUCUCUGGACAAGGUCACGUGAAAUCUUUGCUGAGCCCUUUGCAAAGGAGAAGCUGACUUGAGGUGCUGAAGGCCAACCAGUGCCCGCUCCUGAACCAGCCACCCUGCUUCAGCUCACCUCAUGCUACCCUGGACCGGGCAUCAGUGCCAGCACCCGAGAGCCCACGCUCCGUGGCAGAUCAGGGGGAUGAUCUGCAAUAAAAAAUGACCUGGUAAGAUACGUUUCCUUGUUUCUGAGUGUGCGUGCUCAAAAGCGGGCUCGGUUUCACUGCGUGAUCCAUGGAAAAGCUGUACCAAGGUCAGUGCUGGAGCACAGGCAGGCAGCAGCAAGGGGUGAAAUGGAGCAUCCCUGGGAGCCAGGAGGGAAAACAACACUCACUGAUAUUACUGCCCAUGAUACUGACUUCUGAAGCCGCUGCCUUAGAGCAAAGCAGCAGCUCAGUUAGUGCCUGGAGUCUGGUCCUUAGUGAGGCUGUUCCUACUAUUUACAUCUUUUUGCUUACAGCUUUAUUCUCAGCAACAGGUUAGUCAUUCCCUUGGCAAGUUUAUUGCUAUAAAUUUGCUUAUAUGCAGUUAUUCAAAAGUCAGCGUGUCAUGCUUUAAUUUAAUCUAAUCUAAUCUCUUUGUUUAAACGAGAAACCCUGACCUUUUAUCAUCACAGUCACUAUAAUUACAACAACACUUUAACUAAAAAAGCCUUCAACUAAGUUUACAUUUAACUCAGUCAUUGUUUGUUUCCUGCAAAAUGUUUCUGUAAUUAAUUUCAUUGGGUUUGACCUGAAGCCUAUGGAGGUGAAUGCAGAGACUUUCAUCAUCCUGAACAGGCUGCAGAUCAGACAGCCCGUGACUGCUCAAAGAGGCAAGGCUAAAGGACUUGAAAUGGAAACCACCUGGUUUGCUGUGUGUUUUUGGAGGGUUUUUUUUCACAUAGCAGCAUCAAACUAAUGGCAGUGCUGCAGAGGUGGAAACUCGUGUAGGCACAGCCCUGGAAAGCAGAAGUUUACACUCUAUUUCCAAUAAGAGUACUAUGCCAACCAUAGAGCAAGCUGCACUGUGUUACACUCAGACACCCUCCAAGAUACAACGAGAGACGGAAGGGGAGCUCUGUGGCAGAACUGGAACUAAAAUGCAGAUAAUGUGAGUGCAACCUUAAUGUCUGACCCCAACCCCACUCUCAGCUAUGCCUCUUAUUCCACUGAAGCGCACAUUUAUUUGUACGACUGCAAUAUUCUGCAAUCAUUUCCUUGUCUGACAGUGUUAUAGGAGGGAUGACAUUGAUCUAAAAGGAAGGGCUGACUCUUCAGUGUCUCUAUCAACCCUGGUGCUGUUUGCUCGAGCAGCAGCAGUUAUGGACUCUGCCACUGACAGCAAGGAAUAAAUCCCUCCAGUGUUUCCAUGAUAAGAUGACUCUUUGUAACAGAUCACUCACACAUAUCUCACAGGGCUCAAAGUUUCCUUAUCUUCCAGCCAUUCCUCUUUUCAGCAUUAUUAGAUGCUCUGCAACGUCCAGCCUGGGAAGAGAGGCUUGAGCGGAAGGGACUUUUGCUGCCCACUUUAUAUGGUGCUGUUAGAAAGCAGCCAUUGUGAUUUGUGACUGCGUGUAGCAAAAACAUACAAAGAGCUGUACUUGUUCCCAGCAGCACAAAUACACAUGGGUUACCAUGAGAUGAAAAGCACUUAGCAGUGCACCCUGAAGUCAGCAGUUCUGGACAGAGACACGGGCUGAUCUCAGCAUGUUUCCUUCAUAGCAAAACCACAUUGUUGUCUUCGGACUGUUUCCAACUCAGGAAAACAAAUGAGCAUUAACAAUCCAGAAGUUUUUAAAACUUUAAAGCUUAAAAAAUGUGCAAAACCCCAUCUUUAGCAAUGCUGAUAUGCUUUAAAGCUCUUCUUGAAGCUUCUCAAACAUUUGUAAUUCUCCUGCUCCCGACCUAAACUCAGAUCCAUGCUGUUAUUUAUGCUGGAUCUAUUGUUCCUUACACUUCGGCCACUUGCUGGCCUUUUCUCAGGGACUGCACAAAGUCUGAUGACAAACACAGUGUGCUUUGUGCCAAACAGGAAAAAGGUAAUGCUUUCAGAUAGGAUGAUAAUGAUAACAGUGGGGAGAAGCACUUUGGACUUUUCCUAGAGGGUAUGCCGAUCCUCCUUAUCUUCUGUUUGUGC